CGAUAGCUCAGUUGGUAGAGCGGGGGACUGUAGAUUUAUAAUUGUGAUCCCUAAAUCGCUGGUUUGAAUCCGGCUCG
rfam:Nematostella vectensis strain CH2 x CH6 NEMVEscaffold_605_Cont30731, whole genome shotgun sequence.